CAUCGGCACGCUGAAGCAGUGCAAUCAGCUGCAGACAUUCAGUUCAGUAGGCCAGUUGGCGGGUCGCCUGGUCGUGCCAUUCCUCUCCGAUAAGUUGUCAUUCAACAGGUGUGCUUUUACAUCCGUCAUCAUCGCCUUAGCUGCGGCGUGCAUUGUUCUCGCGACUGUUGCAAACAUUUACGUGACGCUUGCCCUACUUAUCGUAGCCAUCGGAGUAUGCGAAGGGUACCUGCUCUGCAUCAAAGGAGUGCUGACAGCCGAAUACCUGGGCGUGGAAAGCCUAGGUCUUUGCUGUGGCUUUCAAGGAAUCUGCAUGAUACCGGUUACCUUGAGCGCUCCAGCUCUUAUAGGCUACUUCCGUGACAAGCUGGGGUCGUACGACAGGUUUUAUUGGAUGCUGGGAGCAAUGAAACUUCUGCCAGCACUUCUCGUAGGUGGUAUCGCUGUGGCUGACAGUCUACAUAAGAAAACAUGGAACGUCGAUCACGGACGCAAGCUAUGAAACGGUGGGCAUCUUCUGUGCCUUCUGAUUGGAUUUCAAAGAACGUAGUCAACAGCGAUCAACAUUCUCGAUGUGGUUUUUUAGAAAAAAUACGUCUUUGCUCGGAAUAAAAGAAGACUCGUGGUUAGAGAUGGGCAUGGGCCACAAAAUCACG
rnacentral:lncRNA from 1 species